GAAGAGAUCAGCUGUUGAAGUUGUUCGUAGACUAGCAUCUUCGAGCCCCUGAUCUGCGUUAGUCUUCGCAUGGAUUUUCCUAUAGAGGCUAGAUGAUUUCGUAUGGCUAUGAACACCUUGAGAAAUUCCCUCUCCAAUCAUUAGAUCAGAGAAGAUCAAGAUCAAAAUUUAUUUGGUAACGAUCUCUAACUUAUUUUGAUUCCUAUGGU
rnacentral:lncRNA from 1 species